CUGAAAAUUUUGAAAUCCAAAAUUUUGAAAUCUGAGGGUUUUGAAUAGUUUUGGAAGUGAGAAUUUAUAUCUUAGAAAGUUCUCUAAAGCCUAAAAUGCUACUGAAAACUCAACAAAAAUUUCUGUAGAAGUUGAGAAUUUAGAUACACAGAUAUUAGAUCUUAGAGAAGAUAAAAUCCUGAAAACCAACGCAAAAAGGGAGCUUAGGAAUCCAGCAGAGCUAGUGUUUAUAUUCAUUUGGUUGAGAAGUGUUUAAAUUUGUUCAUUGAAGCUUGGUGUUAGAUUCAGCUCGGUUAUUAGUCAAUUGGUUAAACUCUAAGGUAUUUCAAGUUGUUAGCUUGGUUAAUACUUGUUUCUGCUUCCCCUACUAUUUCCUGAUACUCCUGCUCACUUUUUCCUUCAAUUUUCAGGUAUUUACCUAACCAUUUAAUUGCCAGAGGUUAUGCAAAUAUGUAGUUGAAAUUUGAUCUGAAUAAAAGGCUAUCCCAAGCUGAUUUGCUCUUUUGAUUUCCUGCCUAUUCAUCUGAUUUGUAAUAAGAAAUGUAAUCAUAUAUGUUGUUCGAUUAAUUGAUCUAUGCAUUUAAAGUUUCAUAUGUUCAAUUGCCAAUAGUAAAAGUAGCAGGGCCUACAAGCUUGACGGUAUACAGCAUUGCUUGCUUUGGCUUAUAUUGUUCAUUUAGUUAAAUUUUGUUUUGAGUAGGUAAAUCAUGUGUAAUUAGAUUAGGUUUGUUGUAGGAGAAGCUGGGAUUAAUUAGUUUGGCUGAGAUUAGUUUGGAUUCUGUUUUAAAUUUGGAAAUAUGCCCGUUAGAUUCAAUUGCUCAAGUUUCACGUUAGUUACUAAAUGUAUCUCAGGUGUCCUGGGCCUAAACAUAUGGGCUUUUAAAGUCAACAUUGGAUUCAUGUAUCCUUUAAAGGAAAUCGAUCUGAUAAUAUGCUUUAAUUAGCUUUAUGUUGUUUUAAAUGUUUUAGUUAUUUUAAAAUUAGAUCAUGAGCAGUUUCAGUUGUUAAGUUGUUUUAAAAUGUUUUAGUUGCUACAAAUUGUUGUAGUGGUUUUAAACGUAGAUUAUGAGUAGUUUUAGAUAUUUUAGUUGUUUUAAUUUCUUUUGAUUGUUUUAAAUUAUUGUACUUGUUUUUCAAUUGCUUCAGUUUCUGUAUGGAAAUCCCUACUAUAAUGACCAAUCCAAAAAUGUAGAAUUUAAAGGAAAAUAAACA
rnacentral:lncRNA from 1 species